GCAUGGGGGUGAUGGGCCGGCCUGUGCUGGUGGCCUAGAAUCUCUCUGACUCUCCUCUCUCUCUUCGCCUCCUUGUCGGCGGCCAGCCGCCGCCGCCGACCUCGCCGGUCGCCGCCACCGGCGCCGCCGGCGGAGACGCCGAGAAAUGGGACGGAGCCUCUCCGUGGCAAGGUGCCCCCGCGAGCGUCGCCAAAGCGAGACGAAUUGUUUGAUCCUCGUUUCGCUUGGAAUGGACUAGGGUUCCGGUAGAAAUUGGCGCGCGCUUGAGGAGACAAAGAGUUACGACGAAAUUAGAUUAUUUUGGGGGGUGAUAUGUUCCAAAUACCGAAGACUGAUUCUGAUUGCCGCUGCUGUUUGUUGGAGGACCAGAAGACAUCUCACAAAUAUUUUUGGGGUUGGCAUAUAAUACAUUAUUAUGCAGUCUCGUGAGGUCUUAAUCUCCAUUUCACAAGAAGAAUCCUGUAAAUGAUGCACAGCUGUUAUCUCGUCUCAUAAGUGUGUCUUGGUUCAGUAAAAAACCAAGUGUGGCUGGGGAGAUUUCAGUUGUUUGAGGAUGACCUUACUCAUGAUAUAUUCCAGGUACAAGGUUGACAAAUUCUUACUGGGAACAACACAAUUAGACAGCAGUUUAUACCGGCAAGCUUGUUCUAAAUAAUCUUUGUACCGGCGAGAAAUUUACUUAUCAGAUUAGACUCCAGGCAACUACUGAAGGGAAGCCCCAGGAUUACAUCAGAGCUACUUUCGUGUCAAGAAUGAGGUGCACGGUGCUCUAUUGUAUCUUACAGUUGGCCUGCCUCUUCUGAAGCUUGGUUCAGAUCAGCAUAUCUAAAUGCAAUAACUCCACUACCACUAUGAAAAUUCUUUCUUCUGUGACCAAGCAGCCAACUCUUGUUCCUUGGGAUCUUCGCUAUCAAGAAGAGUGCCAAAGCAAAGGAAGCAACACUUGCAGUGAUGGCAACGCCAAUGAAUAUUGAUCGUCCACUGCUUUUUAUACUUUGCACCUCUUUGGCAGCAAGGCGAAGCCGCCUGUUCGAUCAUCUAGCUCCCAGUCAUUGGGUGAUCGUACAGAGAAGCCCUUCAUACACUUGCAGAUAGGAAGCUUGCUCUCUUCGCAGACUGUGAAAGCUCCACAAAUGCCAUACACAUCACACUGCUUUGGGUUGGUGUAGGUUGGUACCCAAUCUUGCACAUGCUCCACCCACAAAAAUAUCUUGGUCUGACCAGAGAUGUCCAGCAUAAAACGCAUGAUCGUUGCGUUAUCUAGUAAGGUAUAUGUGAAGUACACUUCUUCAUCAUUGUUGACAAAAGUAAAAUCAAUUAAGCGUUGACCUGUCAUCUCUGGUAUGGAACCAAAGUAAUGUCCGUUCCAUUCUCCACUAGACCAAUAUGGUAUAGAGGAGUUGAGAGCUGCAAGGAUGAACCUGGUAGAACCAUUGUUGUCAGUUAACUCGUAACUGUACAUGCCAGAAGCUGGGUCUACAGAGUUUUUCCUGGAAACAAGACGGCGGUUUAAGCCAGUGACCUUGUUCCGGCCUAGCUUCGCACCGGCGAGAUGGGUAUUUGUUGGGUAGUCAAAGCUUUGCCACAAGACAACCGAAGAAUUUGAGGUGUUCUGCAGGACAAGGUUGCCAUUAUCCAAUAGCUUGACCAUUGUUGUGUUUGCUGUGAUGUCAGCUUGGGUUGACCAGAAGAUGGACUUUGUGGCCUGAUCUAAGAUGACAAGGUUUCCGUCACCGGAGAUUGUGGCCUCCGGCGAAGUGGGGCCAGUGACAGGCUCAUCUCCAUUGGCAACCCAUGCUGGAGUGAGCUUUGGCACCUGGUUGAACCAUAUCCCCAGGUACCAGUUUGAAGCAUUGUGGGAGGACUUACUGCUGGUUGGGAAGAAGCCAAGCGCAAACUUGCCGUUGCUGGAGACAAGUAUGUCAUUGCCGGCGAGUGUCUCCCCAGCUGAGAUGGUGUCUGUCACCUUGCAGGAUGCAGGAAUGUGCAGUGUGAAGAGGAGGAACAGGACAGUGAUGGGAAGAGCCAUGGUGAACAAAUCAAGAACUAGCUAGCACAGCUGCAAAGGUACUUGGGUGAGGUAGAUGACAGAGGAUGCCUUGGCUGUGUACAUCCAGUUUGGAUGUAGAGGCCGGGUUUAAUCAAUUUUAUCUAAAAAAAAAGGAUGACAGAGGAUGCCAACUGCGGCUUGCGCGUGUGGAUACGAGAGAACACACUGCAAGAGGGAAAGUGAGUAAGCUUGCAUGGUCGUUGGGACUUGGCAGAUGGUAACAUAUUUGAAGGCAGAAAGAAGGAUGGAGUCAUUGGCCUGACCUAGCAUAUAUGGCAGUAAAAAAAUUACAUCAUGAUACAGACAUAUAACCGACUCUUAGGGCUUUGUGACCAAUUAGUCGGCUGGCGAAUUAAAGAAUCCGAAAGUACGGCUGAUUUCUGUCAAAUGGUCAAUCGACCGGGUUGUAAUUUGGACUCAGUUGUUGGUAAAUGAUACUUCCUCCGUUUCAUAUUAUAAGACUUUCUAGCAUUGUCCACAUUCAUAUAGAUGUUAAUGAAUCUAGAUAUAUAUGUAUGUGUAUAGAUUCAUUCAUAAAUGAAACGGAGGGAGUACUUCAAUAGUGGCAUAAAUGACUUUCUGAAAACCAGAAAUUUGUAGCGCUAGUGAUGAAUGAUCCAAAUUUAUGUUUAGCAUCUGUAUCGGCCGGCGAAUUAAAGAAUCUCAAGGUAUGGGUGAUUUCUGUCAA